UGGGGGAUAUUGCACAAUGGGCGAAAGCCUGAUGCAGCGACGCCGCGUGGGGGAUGAAGGCCUUCGGGUUGUAAACUUCUUUUGCUCUGAACAAGGCAUGCCUUUGGGGUGUGUUGAGUGUAGGGGUUGAUUAGCGCCGGCUAACUACGUGCCAGCAGCCGCGGUAAUACGUAGGGCGCGAGCGUUGUCCGGAAUUAUUGGGCGUAAAGGGCUUGUAGGUGGCUGGUUGCGUCUGUCGUGAAAGCUCAUGGCUUAACUGUGGGUUUGCGGUGGGUACGGGCUGGCUUGAGUGCAGUAGGGGAGGCUGGAAUUCCUGGUGUAGCGGUGGAAUGCGCAGAUGUCAGGAGGAAUACCGGUGGCGAAGGCGGGUCUCUGGGCUGUUACUGACGCUGAGGAGCGAAAGCGUGGGGAGCGAACAGG
rnacentral:rRNA from 1 species